rnacentral:rRNA from 1 species
GACGAACGCUGGCGGCGUGCUUAACACAUGCAAGUCGAACGAUGAAGCCGGAGCUUGCUCUGGUGAAUUAGUGGCGAACGGGUGAGUAACACGUGAGUAACCUGCCCUUGACUCUGGGAUAACUGCGGGAAACUGUAGCUAAUACCGGAUACGACCCUCGGAGGCAUCUCCUGGGGGUGGAAAGAAUUUCGGUCAAGGAUGGACUCGCGGCCUAUCAGCUAGUUGGUGAGGUAAAGGCUCACCAAGGCGACGACGGGUAGCCGGCCUGAGAGGGUGACGGGCCACACUGGGACUGAGACACGGCCCAGACUCCUACGGGGGGCAGAAGUGGGGAAUAUUGCACAAUGGGCGCAAGCCUGAUGCAGCAACGCCGCGUGAGGGAUGACGGCCUUCGGGUUGUAAAGCUCUUUCGUCCGGGACGAUAAUGACGGUACCGGAAGAAGAAGCCCCGGCUAACUUCGUGCCAGCCGCCGCAGUAA